rnacentral:lncRNA from 1 species
GUGAGUCAGAAGCGGCAGAAACGGAACCUCAGUAAAGAUACCACGCCCUGCUGGUAUGUCACUCAGCUAGAAGAAAGUCGACAGGAAGCCUCUUCAAAAUGUUUGAGAGACACUGGCUGCUCUUCUGAGGACCUAGAUUCAACUCCAGCACCCAUGUGGUAGCGUACAACUAUCUAACUCCUGCCCCUUCUUCCGAUCUCCACGUGUAUGACACAGCAGGGCGUGGUAGGAUGCCACAUCCUUCUGUAGCUGGCUCUUGCACGCCAGCAGGUGUGCCCGCUCCUGCUGCUGCUGUUCUGUCUCUGAGCGGAUCUCUGCCAGCUCUGCCUCCAGCCUGCCCACCACGGCACCCAGGUUCUGCAGUUCCAUGUCAUGCCAGUGCUGGGCGUCGUGCAAGCUGUUUUCCAGGCCUCGUUUCUACAAAAGAGUGAAGGUUAUCGGCUUGGGCGGUCCAGACAGGGUCUCACUGUAUAGCUCUGGCCACUUACUCUGUAGACCAGACUGGCUUCGAACUCACAGAGCUCCCUCUGCCUGCCAAGCUGCUGGGAUGAAAGAAGCCCACAGAGGUCAGAAGAGGCAUUGGAACCCCUGGAACUGAAGUCACAGACGUUGUGAGCUGCCAUGUGGGUGCUAGAAACAGAAUCUGGGUCCUCUGUAAGAGCAGAGAGAAGCCAGUGAAAAUACCAAAUGUCACCAUGAACAGCCAUUGGACAGAUGAGACAUCCAUAAGAAGAGCUACCUGUGACCUUGGAGCCACGUGGCCCUUCUCUCUAGGGAGAGAAGGUAGAAAUGAAUGACUUGUGGUCUUCAUUAGUAACACUGAACGGCAGGCAGGCUGGAAGCUUGCUAUAGGGAGAGCUGGGAGAGCUAACAGUGGGGUGUCCUCACCCCCUACUCUCCCUCUGACCUGAAA